AACGCACAUUGCGCCCAUUAGUAUUCUAGUGGGCAUGCCUGUUCGAGCGUCAUUUCAACCCUUAAGCCUAGCUUAGUGUUGGGAAUCUACUGUAUUGUAGUUCCUGAAAAACAACGGCGGAACUAUAGUGUCCUCUGAGCGUAGUAAUUUUUUAUCUCGCUUUUGUCAGGUGCUGUAGCUCUUGCCGCUAAACCCCCCAAUUUUUAAUGGUUGACCUCGGAUCAGGUAGGAAUACCCGCUGAACUUAA
rnacentral:misc_RNA from 1 species